AGCGGCGGACGGGUGGGUAACGCGUGGGAAUCUACCUAGUAGUGGGGGACAACAGUUGGAAACGGCUGCUAAUACCGCAUACGCCCUUAGGGGGAAAGGAGGGGAUCUUUUGACCUUUUGCUAUUAGAUGGGCCCGCGUUGGAUUAGCUAGAUGGUGGGGUAAUGGCUUACCAUGGCGACGAUCCAUAGCUGGUUUGAGAGGAUGAUCAGCCACACUGGGACUGAGACACGGCCCAGACUCCUACGGGAGGCAGCAGUGAGGAAUAUUGCACAAUGGGGGGAACCCUGAUGCAGCCAUGCCGCGUGUGUGAAGAAGGCUUUAGGGUUGUAAAGCACUUUCAGUGGGGAGGAAAGGUUUACGGUUAAUAACUGUGAGCUGUGACGUUACCCACAGAAGCAGCACCGGCUAACUCCGUGCCAGCAGCCGCGGUAAUACGGAGGGUGCGAGCGU
rnacentral:rRNA from 1 species